rnacentral:rRNA from 1 species
AUUGAACGCUGGCGGCAUGCCUUACACAUGCAAGUCGAACGGCAGCACGGGAGCAAUCCUGGUGGCGAGUGGCGAACGGGUGAGUAAUAUAUCGGAACGUGCCCAGUCGUGGGGAUAACGUAGCGAAAGCUACGCUAAUACCGCAUACGAUCUAUGGAUGAAAGCGGGGGAUCGCAAGACCUCGCGCGAUUGGAGCGGCCGAUAUCAGAUUAGGUAGUUGGUGAGGUAAAGGCUCACCAAGCCGACGAUCUGUAGCUGGUCUGAGAGGACGACCAGCCACACUGGACUGAGACACGGCCAGACUCCUACGGGGGCAGCAGUGGGAAUUUUGGACAAUGGGCGCAAGCCUGAUCCAGCAAUGCCGCGUGCAGGAU